rnacentral:lncRNA from 1 species
UUUUUAGCUCACCUGGCCCGAAGGGCCAAGUGAGCUUUUCUCAUCACUUGGCGUCCGGCGUCGUCCGGCGUCCGUCGUCCGUCGUCGUUAACUUUUACAAAAAUCUUCUCCUCUGAAACUACUGGGCCAAAUUUAACCAAACUUGGCCACAAUCAUCAUUGGGGUAUCUAGUUUAAAAAAUGUGUUUGGUUACCCGGCCAACCAACCAAGAUGGCCGCCAUGGCUAAAAAUAGAACAUAGGGGUCAAAUGCAGUUUUUGGCUUAUAACUCUGAAACCGAAGCAUUU